GAUGAAGAACGUAGCGAAAUGCGAUAAGUAAUGUGAAUUGCAGAAUUCAGUGAAUCAUCGAAUCUUUGAACGCACAUUGCGCCCGCCAGUAUUCUGGCGGGCAUGCCUGUCCGAGCGUCAUUUCAACCAUCAAGCCCCCGGGCUUGUGUUGGGGACCUGCGGCUGCCCGCAGGCCCUGAAAACCAGUGGCGGGCUCGCUGUCACACCGAGCGUAGUAGCAAUCACCUCGCUCAGGGCGUGCUGCGGGUUCCGGCCGUUAAACAGCCUUACAAAACCCAAGGUUGACCUCGGAUCAGGUAGGAAGACCCGCUGAACUUAAGCAUAUCAAUAAGCGAGGA
rnacentral:misc_RNA from 1 species